rnacentral:rRNA from 1 species
GUCUACGGCCAUACCACCCUGAACGUGCCCGAUCUCGUCUGAUCUCGGAAGCUAAGCAAGGUCGGGCCUGGUUAGUACUUGGAUGGGAGAGAGCCAAGUUUAUGUCUAAA